CAGGCUGGGUCGACACCACACUCAUCCCUGUGGCCUGCCUGACCUUUGCAGCACAUUUCCUCCACAGCCUGAGCAUGGAGAUGUAGACGAGGUUCUCACAAAUCUGGGAAGCAGCUGCUGCCUCAUUGAGUCCAAGGAGCUGAAAUUCUCAAUGGAGCUUGCAGAUCACGGACUGAAAAACAG